UGAUGUGAGGGCGAUCUGGCUGUGACAUCUGUCACCCCAUUGAUUGCUGGCUAGGCGGGUGUCCCCUUCCUCCCUCACCCUUCCAUGUGCAUUCCUCCGGAAGCUGCACACUCGGUCAAAGAGGGCGGUAUUCCCUGAAUAAAGAUGGUCUGGUCUUCAGUGGAGGGUAUACGAGUAGCUGUGCUCCCCUGCUAGAACCUCCAAAAAAGCUCAAGGUAUACACACACACACACACACACACACACACACACACACACAUAUUAUAUAAGGAUAGAAUAUCUUUAAUUAUUU
rnacentral:snRNA from 1 species